GACGAACGCUGGCGGCAGGCCUAACACAUGCAAGUCGAGCGGACCUUUCGGGGUCAGCGGCGGACGGGUGAGUAACGCGUGGGAAUAUGCCCUUCUCUACGGAAUAGUCCUGGGAAACUGGGGGUAAUACCGUAUACGCCCUUUGGGGGAAAGAUUUAUCGGGGAAGGAUUAGCCCGCGUUGGAUUAGGUAGUUGGUGGGGUAAUGGCCUACCAAGCCGACGAUCCAUAGCUGGUUUGAGAGGAUGAUCAGCCACACUGGGACUGAGACACGGCCCAGACUCCUACGGGAGGCAGCAGUGGGGAAUCUUAGACAAUGGGGGCAACCCUGAUCUAGCCAUGCCGCGUGAGUGAUGAAGGCCUUAGGGUUGUAAAGCUCUUUCAGCUGGGAAGAUAAUGACGGUACCAGCAGAAGAAGCCCCGGCUAACUCCGU
rnacentral:rRNA from 1 species